UUGGUCGAAUAUUGUAAGGGGUUAAUACGUAGUUUGUAUUUGAAUAGUUAGAUUAACGUGUUAGUAAACCAAUUGUAGGCGGUUCGUGUGUGGAUCUCGUCAGCAUAUCGUCGCAAACAGGCGGUUCGUGUGUGGAUCUCGUCAGCAUAUCGUCGCAAACAGGAAAUCCCCAACCAUAGUGGGCUUGGAGCUGUGAGGGAAUUCGGAGUGGCCACCCGUUCUGAAAGUUUGAUUUUCUUCUGGUGAACUGGACAUCCUUUUAUUUACGUUUGAAGUUUUUGGGCUUUUAAAUGUAAUAAGGCCGCUUAAUUAUUUUUGAUGGUUUUAAUAUGUAUUACUAAGAUAGGUAAUACUUAUUUUAACUGUUGAAAUUGGAUAGCUUUAGGGCGCGUUUUCAAAAACAACAA